rnacentral:rRNA from 1 species
UAAGCAUAUCAAUAAGCGGAGGAAAAGAAACCAACAGGGAUUGCCCUAGUAACGGCGAGUGAAGCGGCAACAGCUCAAAUUUGAAAUCUGGCUCUUUCAGGGCCCGAGUUGUAAUUUGCAGAGGGCGCUUUGGCGUUGGCAGCGGUCCAAGUUCCUUGGAACAGGACGUCACAGAGGGUGAGAAUCCCGUACGUGGUCGCUGGCCUUCGCCGUGUAAAGCCCCUUCGACGAGUCGAGUUGUUUGGGAAUGCAGCUCUAAAUGGGAGGUAAAUUUCUUCUAAAGCUAAAUACUGGCCAGAGACCGAUAGCGCACAAGUAGAGUGAUCGAAAGAUGAAAAGCACUUUGGAAAGAGAGUCAAAUAGCACGUGAAAUUGUUGAAAGGGAAGCGCUUGCAGCCAGACUUGCCUGUAGUUGCUCAUCCGGGCUUUUGCCCGGUGCACUCUUCUGCGGGCAGGCCAGCAUCAGUUUGGGCGGUUGGAUAAAGGUCUCUGUCAUGUACCUCUCUUCGGGGAGGCCUUAUAGGGGAGACGACAUGCAACCAGCCUGGACUGAGGUCCGCGCAUUUGCUAGGAUGCUGGCGUAAUGGCUGUAAGCGGCCCGUCUUGAAACACGGACCAAGGAGUCUAACAKCUAUGCGAGUGUUUGGGUGUCAAGCCCGAGCGCGCAAUGAAAGUGAACGGAGGUGGGAACCCUUUAGGGUGCACCAUCGACCGAUCCUGAUGUCUUCGGAUGGAUUUGAGUAAGAGCAUGGCUGUUGGGACCCGAAAGAUGGUGAACUAUGCUUGAAUAGGGUGAAGCCAGAGGAAACUCUGGUGGAGGCUCGCAGCGGUUCUGACGUGCAAAUCGAUCGUCAAAUUUGGGCAUAGGGGCGAAAGACUAAUCGAACUACUAGUAGCUGGUUCCUGCCGAAGUUC